ACACUUACCUGGCAGGGAAGAGACCAUGAUCACAAAGGUGGUUUUCCCAGGGUGCGCUUUCUCCAUGGCACUCCAGCGGUGCUGACCCCCACAAUUUCCCCAAAUGUGGGAAAAACUCAACUACAGAAUUUGUGGUAGUGGAGUCACACUGGAUUCACACUCCC